rnacentral:miRNA from 1 species
UAUUGCACUCGUCCCGGCCGAU